ensembl:Y_RNA Y_RNA Y RNA
GGCUGGUCUGAUGGUAGAGGGUUAUCAGAACUUAUUAACAUUAGUGUCCCUAAAGUUGGUAUACAACCCUCCACUGCUAAAUUUGACUGGCUUAAA